GUCAGGUUCCCUGAUGAAUCCCAAUUCAGCCGGCUUUGCUGUCACUGUCAGGUGUUUCCGGAUUCUCCAUCUCUGACGUAUGGGUGUGUAGCCUUUUCUCUCAUUCCUGCCUCCUUGUCUCCUUUGACCUUUGUGUUGGUGCCUGUGACCUGGGAGUUGAUCUCCGUGUUAAUGCAUCUGGAGGCCAUGAGAGGAGCGAGAGGCGGAUUGCUGGAGAGGCUCUAAUCGAGGAUGCUCAGGUGCUGCCUGCAGUGAAGCCAAAGAGAUGUACAUGAGAUUGGAGGGACAGCCGGAGACAAGUAAUGAACAUUCCUCCCUCGCUGCAUUGCUC